rnacentral:rRNA from 1 species
UACAGAGGUCGCAAGCGUUAAUCGGAUUUACUGGGCGUAAAGCGUGUGUAGGUGGUUGUGCAAGUCGGUUGUGAAAUCCCCGGGCUCAACCUGGGAACUGCUUCCGAGACUGUGCGACUAGAGAUCGGUAGAGGGCGGUGGAAUUUCCGGUGUAGCGGUGAAAUGCGUAGAUAUCGAGAGGAACACCAGUGGCGAAGGCGAGUCCCUGGACAACUCCUGACGCUGAGGCACGAAAGCGUGGGGAGCAAACAGG